GAUGAACGCUAGCGGCAGGCCUAACACAUGCAAGUCGAGGGGCAUCAUGGCGUAGCAAUACGCUGAUGGCGACCGGCGCACGGGUGCGUAACGCGUAUGGAACCUACCCACCGCAGGGGGAUAACCCGCCGAAAGGCGGACUAAUACCCCAUGGUUCCCCGACCCUGCCUGGGGUUGGGGGUAAAGCCUACGGGCGGCGGUGGAUGGCCCUGCGUGCCAUUAGCUGGCUGGUGGGGUAACGGCCCACCAGGGCGACGAUGGCUAGGGGGUCUGAGAGGACGAUCCCCCACACUGGUACUGAGACACGGACCAGACUCCUACGGGAGGCAGCAGUGAGGAAUAUUGGUCAAUGGGCGGAAGCCUGAACCAGCCAUGCCGCGUGCAGGAUGACGGCCCUACGGGUUGUAAACUGCUUUUCCCCGGGGCGAAUAACCCCUCGCGAGGGGAGUGCCGGUACCGGGGAAGUAAGGGAUCGGCUAACGUCCGUCGCCAGCAGCCGCGGUAAACGUGUAGUCGU
rnacentral:rRNA from 1 species